GGCUCGGUAGCUUAGUUGGUAAAGCACUUGUCUAGCGAAUAAGGGUCGUGAGUUCAAAUCUCAUGUGAGCUG
rnacentral:tRNA from 1 species